rnacentral:rRNA from 1 species
CAAUAGCGUAUAUUAAAGUUGUUGCAGUUAAAAAGCUCGUAGUUGGAUUUCUGGUGGGAGCGAUCGGUCUGGCGCUUAGCGCGAGUACUUGCAUCGUCUCCGGCCAUCCUUGGGGAGAGUCUGUCUGGCAUUAGGUUGUCGGGCAGAGGAUCCUCAUCGUUUACUGUGAAAAAAUUAGAGUGUUCAAAGCAGGCUUAUGCCGUUGAAUAUAUUAGCAUGGAAUAAUAAGAUAGGACUUUGGUACUAUUUUGUUGGUUUGCGCACCAAAGUAUGAUUAAUAGGGACAGUUGGGGGUAUUCGUAUUCCGUUGUCAGAGGUGAAAUUCUUGGAUUUACGGAAGACGAACUACUGCGAAAGCAUUUACCAAGGAUGUUUUCAUUAA